UAAGGGGGCCCGCGCGCGCCACACGGGUUUCAGCCGGUGACGUAGCUGCCUGUUAACUCACCAAGCGACAUUACCGUAUUUACAUUUCUGUAUCAGAGAACUCGCGAGGUGUAGGCCUACUUCCUACCGGCAUUUUAUCUGUAUGUUUCUAAAAUAUCCCUUAUAUACAGCGUAUAUAUAAAUACAGCGUACGCGAAUAUCUGACAAUGAUCGUCCCACACCACUGAUUUCACCCUAUUUAACCACCAAUCUGAUCAUAUGUUCAUAGAAGAAUACCUGGAUGAAGAUGAGGAACCACCUUUGCUGCUCAGCUCUUGUCCUUCUCACGGUGUUUUGCUCUGGAGGGACUGUAGCCGUGCAGUGUCGGUGGGGGGAGGGGUGUGUGUGUCUGGAGUGCCCCAGUGGCCAAGAGCCAAUCAAGGCUUGCUGGCAGGUCGAGGGGCCAGGCGAGGCGAUCCGAUGCCAAUCUUGUCCAGCUAGUACUUUUUCGGACAGCUAUGACUCUGAUCAAUGCCGCCCACAUUCCUCCUGUGGGGUCCUCAACAAAAAGGUUGUGACCUCUGGUACAUCGCACUCUGAUGCUGUCUGCGGAGACUGUCUGUAUGGGUUCCACGCCACUGCUGGGAGGACAGCCUCCACCCUGGCCUGUGUGAGAGCCCCCCCUGCCCAGUCUACCCACGUGCGCGUGGUGCGUACGGUGGAUAAGGGCUCGACGGGCAGUGGCGGCCUGCCGGUGAACGGUACAGCAGUACGGAGCCCGGAUGAGAAGAGUACAGAGUAUGCAGUGUUCGCCCUGGUGCCAAUCUUCUGUGUGAUGGGACUCCUGGGGAUCCUCAUCUGUAAUAUCCUCAAGAAGAAAGGAUACAACUGCACUGCUGAGAAGGAGGGAGGAGAUGAGGAGAAUGCUACACCACAGAAAGAGGGUAACGCUUGUCCCUACAUCGUAGACGAUCCUAAUGAAGACACCAUCAGUGUUCUAGUGCGCCUCAUCACAGAAAAGAAAGAGAAUGCUGCUGCCCUGGAGGAGCUGCUACUGGAGUACGAGAGUAAACAGAUGGCCAUCAGCAAAGCCUCCUCAAUCAAGUUCCCGGUGCUGUCUCCGUUGACUCAUUUCCUCUCCUUACCCAGACUUUGUCCUCACCAGUCUCACCUCCACACCAUCUCUGGUCUGUCUGGCCUGUCUGGCCCCCGACACGGCUACUGCUGCUCCCGCUGUGCCCAGAAGAAAUGGCCCCCCAUCCUCCUGCCCCCCCUCGGCCCCCUCAAACCCCCAAAGUUCCUCCUGACCCCCCUCAAACACCCUCUGGACCUCCAGACCCUCCAGAAGACCCCUCUCCUACCCCCCGUGGACACACACCACUCCACCACUAAGAUCUCCCAGACGCCCAGGGCUGGGUCAGGGUUACUCCCUGAAGGGAAGUGGAGGAUUCCUGGGGAGGUGACCCGGUCUGUUGGGAGGUUUCAGGUGGCUCAGAUUCAGGAGCAGAGGCCUGGUUCCGUGGAGAUGACGUUCUGCCCAGAGUCGAGUGACUCAGUGGAGGAUUCAUCUCUGCUGGGGGUGAACAAGUCAUCCUCGUCAUCAUCCUCACCAGCUGCCAGGGGUACACAGGAGUUGGCAUCCCAUCCCUGACAGUUAGUGAGGAAGCUACUGACCCCUGGUGGUGACAUUGGGAACACACACCACCUCAAGUCCUGCCUGUUAACAGCUAAACAUUUGCAGAGUGGAAUGCUGGGUAAAAAUAACUCUACCUCGCUGAUCGAUGGAUGUGAUGGGAUUCCAAAAUGGCGACCAGAGAAUUUGGGAUUUGGGAAGUUAGCCUGGGUUCCAGACAAAGGGAAACCCUUGUAUUUAUAACACAAACAAGUUGUAUCUAUUCCUAUUGUCUUUAGAGGCAGGGAGAAGAGAGGAGGAACAAACUAUGAAUUAACCCAACCGUGUGGUCAACACAGUCUGCACUCGACCCUGUGCAAUACACACACACACACACACACACACACACACACACACACACACACACACACACACACACACACACACACACACACACACACACACA